rnacentral:rRNA from 1 species
GACGAACGCUGGCGGCGUGCCUAAUACAUGCAAGUUGAGCGAUGAAGAUUGGUGCUUGCACCAAUUUGAAGAGCAGCGAACGGGUGAGUAACGCGUGGGGAAUCUGCCUUUGAGCGGGGGACAACAUUUGGAAACGAAUGCUAAUACCGCAUAACAACUUUAAACAUAAGUUUUAAGUUUGAAAGAUGCAAUUGCAUCACUCAAAGAUGAUCCCGCGUUGUAUUAGCUAGUUGGUGAGGUAAAGGCUCACCAAGGCGAUGAUACAUAGCCGACCUGAGAGGGUGAUCGGCCACAUUGGGACUGAGACACGGCCCAAACUCCUACGGGAGGCAGCAGUAGGGAAUCUUCGGCAAUGGACGAAAGUCUGACCGAGCAACGCCGCGUGAGAGAAGAAGGUUGUCGGAUCGUAAAACUCUGUUGGUAGAGAAGAACGUUGGUGAGAGUGGAAAGCUCAUCAAGUGACGGUAACUACCCAGAAAGGGACGGCUAACUACGUG